rnacentral:rRNA from 1 species
AUGCAUGUCGAAGUACAUGAUGGUACUAAUUGGUGGUUUGCUAGAGUACCACUCAUACAUUUUUGGAUUGUAGAGUUUCACUAUCCAAAUAGGGUGAUGCGGCAAUUCGGAUUAAGACAAGCCAUUCCACCUUCCCCUCCAGGCGGCGAGGUAGAGGUUCGCAAACUGCGAAAAAUUAAGCAUUCUGCAGGAAAACCGCAUAAUUGGGAAGAAGUCCAUGCCAAGUAUGUUCAAGAAUAUGUUGAAGAGUAUGAUCGUGUCCAAGUAGGAGUAGUGCCAGAGGAUAUUCCCUUUGAUGUAGCUAGUUUACCCGAUUACAGACAUUGGUUCCAGCAAUAUUGUAUGUACACAGUAUUCUUUGACUCUCAAUGCUUAGGAGGCCUAGAUAAACCUAUCCCAUAUCCUCGAUAUAGCAUCGAAUGGACCGGGUACAUGCCCAGCGGUCCACCAUUGGCUCGCAUUAGCCUACGUGAGAUAAAGAAUGCUGCAUGGGGGAUCAAAUGUGCUACUACCAGUGGGUGCAAGAAGAUAGGCAAAUCUAUAAUGAGGUCUUGUGUAUGA